UCCACACCCAUGGUUGCAGGUUGGGAGAUCCUUUAUGAUACAACUGUGGGUCCUUCUGGAAGUUCCAGUGUUUUAUAAUAAUUAUCUUUACUCUGGACAUACCUUUUGAUGCUUCCGUAUAUUCUUAUAAAAAUUUUAAUCCAGUGUACUGAAUCAUUUCAUGCGUCUAGGUCGCUUUUUAAACAUCCUUAUUGCAGAACCAUUGAUGUAAUAUUUUGAUCCCAAUAAUUUUUUUGCUACCCCUGAUGAAGUCAAACAGACAAAACGCGUUGGGUUUAUCAGCUAUAAAUCAGUAAUCCAGUUGAUGAUAACACUCCCUAGUGCCAAGUUCACACCUUGUUAAGGUGAGGGAGUUCGUACAUCUAUAUCACCUACUGGACAUUUAUGGAAUCACCAAAAA